UUUGCCUAAGGCCUAAACAUAGCCAUACAGUUAGCUAUUAUUCACUCAAUUUCUUUCCGAGAGGGAAAGAAAAACAAGGAGAGGCCAUAGGAACAUCGCAAACCCUAAAAUUUGAGGGGAAGACGAUUAACUCGGAUCAAAUCAAAGAAAGAAGUAGCUUCAAAUGGAGAAGCUCUUUUAUAAGUCCCAAAAGCGAAAGCGGUUACGUGUCUCGUCCACUUCGAUUCGAGAGGGAGAAGAACGAGUAGGAAAAGAUCUGAUUAGCUUGUUACCUGAACCGUUGCUAUGUCACAUACUCAGCUUUCUCACCACUGAGCAAGCGGUUUGGACGAGUGUUUUGUCCUCUAGAUGGAGACAUCUCUGGAAAUUUGUUCCUAGGUUAGAACUAGACAGCUUUGAUUUCACUAAUGACAAAGUCUGUGUUGAUUUCAUUCACAAGUAUCUGGCUCUACAAGGCAAGCCCUACUACUUGCGUGAGUUCAAGUUGACCAUUGACCACGAUAUCUUUGACAGUGAGGCUUCUCUUUACGGGCCGUGUCUCGGCGGAGUGGAUAUGCGGAGGCUUGAAACUUUCCAAAUCAAGAAUAAGUUAGGACGUGGUGGCUUUGAUGACUUCCGGACACGUUUAACGCUUUCUGCGUGCGAGGCAUUGGUCUGCUUAAAGCUCCAUUUCGUCAGGCUGAAUGAUGAUGACUUGGAGUCUCUCUCCUUACCCUGUCUCAAGAUCAUGUUCUUGGAAGACGUUGUUAUGCCUAGCGACUCGGCUGCAGAGGCGUUGAUCUCCUCCUCUCCGGUUCUUGAAGUCUUGAAAAUAAGCCUCAGUAGAGAUGAUUUUGUGGUGGCUUUACGUGUCUGCUCACCGUCGCUUAAUAGCUUCACUCUAAAACGAGUGAACCCUAUUUAUGCUCGUGGACAUUCAGUUGUGAUUGAUGCCCCGAAACUCGAGUAUCUGAGUCUCAUGGAUUACUACCAUUUCAGAAGCUUUGAGAUAAUCAGUAAGGCUGAGUCUUUCAAGGUUGAUAUCGAUGUCGAGUUUGAGCUGAUGACUGAUUACUUGUCGGAACAGAAGAUCAUCGACAAUCUUCUCAACAGCUUUUCAGGUGUUAAAGUUAUGACCAUAUCAUGGAAAACUUUGCAGUUUAUACAUAGUUCCCCUCAGACGAACUUUCUCCCCAAAUUUCAUGGCUUGACCCGUUUGCGUGUCAGUAUGUGCUUAAACGCAUCCCCUCAACUAUUGCCAAUCGUUCUUGAGAGCUGCCCCAAUCUGAAACACUUGACAUUGGAGUUGUUAAUUCAUUACCCAGAAGUGAUAGCUAGACUCUCCACUGUCCUGCCUCGUUGUUUGGUAUCGUCUCUUGUAUCUGUUGAAAUGGAUAGCCCGGUCACGGAGAUAGCUACUGAACUGGAUUUGUCUAGAUACUUUAUGAAGAACUCUACAACGCUCAAGAAGGUGGUUCUUCGUUUGAAUCAGUCUUCUACUGGAGAGAAACACAAGCCUGGUGUCUUGGAACAACUCAUUGAAUCUCCAAGACGCUCUGCUUUGUGUCAGUUUGAAGUUAUUCCAGUGGUUACAAUCUCCGAAUCAUCCAUAGCCUGAUGGGGAUGUCUAAUGUAAAAUCCAAUAGGUUCUGAAGCUGGAUCUGAAUAUAGAAUAAGUGUGUAAAAGUGUGGCUUAAGACACAGCUUUAACCCUUUGUGUGAGGUACUACUGGCUAUUUGAUAUGUUAUUUACUUCCAAGACUAUGCACUUACAUGAUAUUAUUUCUAACGCUGCUAAUAUCA